AUACAUGUAGUGGCACCUGGACACGUACCAGCAUUGGAAGGCUUUGUCGUGUUUAACACCAACACCUCUCCGACGACGACGACCCGGACGCCCCGUCCCCGUGAAGCAGCCAGCGGCGGGGAGGUGGACAAGGCGCUGGACUACAUGUACCGCGCAAACAGGAUGGCGAGCCUCGCCGUGAAGGUGAAGCACAUCGACGUGGGCGUCUCCGUCCUCUCCCGCUUCAUGGAGCCCAAGAAGGAAGCUGGCCAGCCUCGCCGAGUUCUGCGCCGACUACGCCUACAUCUCCGAGGAGGGAUUCUAUCUGGCAUCCGAUUGAUCGAUGGACGCUGUGCUGAUCCAAGCCAUGCCCAUGCAUGAUCUCCUUAUCAUCAGUCUUUUAAUCUACCAUCCAUCCCAUCCAGGCCUGUGGUUUCGUCAGGAUUUAUGUGCUGCCUGCAAUGCUCUUGUAUUCGUAUUCAGUUUGGUCAGACUUUGGUUCCUGGACGGCCAGCAUGCCUAUCUAAUCUGUCUCAGCUUCAUCAGUUAGCUAGGGGAAACCAAUGUAGUAUUGUAAUGUUGAUCUUCAUCUUAUCUUAUCUUUGGGACUUCACUUGAUCGAAUCGAAUUGCAGGAGCUAUCU